AACAACAUCAUGUGAACUGGGACUAAAGUAUGGGUAGAGUUUCUCAGUGAAGCAGCAGCCAGUAAAGGAGUAGAUAAGAGCUGCAGCAUCAACAUCAUAAAAGGAGACCAGACCCUCCUCAUAAUCC